rnacentral:rRNA from 1 species
GACGAACGCUGGCGGCGUGCCUAACACAUGCAAGUCGAGCGAAUGAAGUUCCUUCGGGUAUGGAUUUAGCGGCGGACGGGUGAGUAACACGUGGGCAACCUGCCUCAUAGAGGGGAAUAGCCUUCCGAAAGGGCGAUUAUUACCGCAUAAGAUUGUAGUACCGCUUGAUACAGCCAUUAAAGGAGCAAUCCGCUAUGAGAUGGGCCCGCGGCGCAUUAGCUAGUUGGUGAGGUAACGGCUCACCAAGGCGACGAUGCGUAGCCGACCUGAGAGGGUGAUCGGCCACAUUGGGACUGAGACACGGCCCAGACUCCUACGGGAGGCAGCAGUGGGGAAUAUUGCACAAUGGGGGAAACCCUGAUGCAGCAACGCCGCGUGAGUGAUGACGGCCUUCGGGUUGUACAGCUCUGUCUUCAGGGACGAUAAUGACGGUACCUGAGGAGGAAGCCACGGCUAACUACGUGCCAGCCGCCGCCGUAAUAC